CGGAAGGUCCGGGCGUUAUCCGGAUUUAUUGGGUUUAAAGGGAGCGUAGGCCGGAGAUUAAGCGUGUUGUGAAAUGUAGAUGCUCAACGUCUGCACUGCAGCGCGAACUGGUUUCCUUGAGUACGCACAAAGUGGGCGGAAUUCGUGGUGUAGCGGUGAAAUGACAUAGAUAUCACGAAGAACUCCGAUUGCGAAGGCAGCUCACUGGAGCGCAACUGACGCUGAAGCUCGAAAGUGCGGGUAUCGA
rnacentral:rRNA from 1 species